GUCAAUUCAAUGAUAGUUUCAUCGGCACAGAAAAGCACCAGCUACCAGAGUUAUGGACAGAAGUACAAAAAGCAGGUCUCCUGCUAUUCUUGCAUAUGAGAAAGGAUCCUUCAUGGGCAUUGCUCUGUGUUCGGCUGACCAUUAGCAGCUAAGAAUGACAUAUACACCAAGGCAAAUCUUGUCCUGUCUCACAGGGGACUGCUGACUGCGAUGUUCUUCUCCUUCUUCUACAUGAAAGAGCUGUUCUGAUACUGAACAGGUUAAGAAAGAAGUCAUGAGCAUCUACUAAACCCAGAUACUGAAGAAUUGUAAGAAGCUCAUAUAUUCUACAAAAGAAAAACAUCCAAUCUCCAAUGCCUUGGAAAUAUUAUUCGUUUGGAAUGCAUCAACAAUUCUUAGUGAUAUUCAGAAUUCAAACAAGAGAGCACCGAGACACAGAGGCUCUUGUGACUGUAUCUAAGAAGAGCUUGAGAGAAAGGCUUUCAGAAGUUCAAAGGACUCCAGAAAACAGCAGCCUACACAGGGUGUGAGGGAGUAUUUUCUUCAUUUGGAACACUGAAGGGAGGAUAUUUGCUUUCUGAUGUCGAGCAACAGCACCUGCAGAGCACCUGCCAAGCCCCAGUAAACAGCAGUAUGGCAAGGAAUGGGAUGUCUCUUAAAAGAGCAAUCUCUUCAACAAGUAAGACACUUCAACAUCCUCAGUGAUAAAUUAGCCAUGAGGGUCUGAGCCUCAUUUCCUGAUUUGUCACUCACACAAGGAACAUGAAAGGACUUAUCUGUUACCUUCCACAAUUUUCCCUGAUACAGUAGCAUCAGUUGACUUUCAACAAGGAGGGACUGGUCAGCAGGAUGGCAUGGCUGUUUAUGCGCGUGCGUCGUUGGUUGGGUUUUUGUCACUUCCAAAUGAUGUCUCCAGCUUUGGAAAGCCAUAUAAUGACAAGUAAGAUCAGAUGUCACAAGUGCAGGUGUGAGGAGGUCUGGUGGAAGAGUAGAAGUUUUCAUUAGCAGCAUGUGUGUUUUUUAAGACAACUGAAGCCAGUUCCUACUAUACAUGGGUGAAUUAUUUUGGCCUGAGGGAUAACAGAAGUUUGUUUGGCUUUUAAGUCUAUGUUGGUGUAACAAGAGCUGGGCUCAGAGAAGUAGUGGGUGGCUGCUUGGACAGCAUGUAUCUACCAACAGUAGAGCAGUGGAUAAGAAAAGGAAGAAAUUCUCUUUGUUUAGCUUGUUAUCUGUCCCCCUUCUCUACCACAACCACUGUCCAAAUUCUCAGUGAGAGAGCAGGAUUAAUCACAGAGGUGUAGAAUAAUCAAGGCUGGAAAAUAACUCCAAGAUCAUUGAUUCCAGCCCUUAACUGCCUCUUUGCCACUAAAUCAUAUCCCCAGGUGCUAUAUUCACAUGCCUUUUGAAUACUUCCAGGGAUGGUAACUCCAUACCUUCCCAGACAGCCAGUUCCAGUGCCUGACCACUGUUUUAGUGAAGAUUUUUUUUGCUAACAAUUAAUCUAAACCUCCCCUGGUACAACUUAAGGACAUUUCCCCUUGUCCUGUCACUGGUUGUCUGGGAGAAGAGACUGACCCUCACACAGCUCUACACUCCUUCCAGGCAGCGGUAGAGAGUGAUGAGAUCUCUCCUGAGCCUCCUUUUCUACAGCCUGAACACCGCCAGCUCCCUUGUAUAAUUUGUACCCAAAUCCUUCUUCAGCUUUGUUGACUCUGAUUGGGCAAAUUUUUUAUCCUUGGCAGGCUACAUUAAUGUAAUCAACAUGAAAAGAGAAGUCAUCCUGGCUAAAGAACUCUGGUGAUAAGUAUGUGUGUGUGUAGGCAGGAGAUGUUUGAAGAUGACAGAGAAACUUGUACAUUACCUUUUUCUGAACUUCUAACAAGACAACCUUAAAAUAGUUUCCCAUGUAUUUCUUCUUGGCUGUUGCACCGAAAACUUGUCAUGAAAAUGUCUAGGAUUCUUGGUAGAAAUGCAUGAUCUACAUGUAAAACAAACAAAAAAAAUAGUGUCAAGACUUAAGCUAACUAAAAACUUUUUCUUGUCUUACAGAAUAUUUUUCCAUGGGUCUUGAAAUAUCUGGGAAGUAGGAAUGAAGUAGGAAGCAGUCUUAUAUGAUACACCAAUACUUGCUUUUUCUGCUGGUUUUCCAGGCAGUUUCUGGUGGAGUCAUGUAAGAAUAUGGCCCUUUGCUGCUCAUCAGAGCAGCACUGAUCUAUUCCUAUUGUAUAUAUGGAACAUGUGCUACUUUAAUGCUCUAUUGCUGCAAACUAUUAGAAAUCUUAUUCAAAAGAAUUAUCUUCCUCUCAAAGAAACAACAUAUAGCACCAAUUUGUGUUCUUGAUGCUCUCAGUUAAUAAGAACAUACAAAAUCUGUAUUUUGCUUUUGGGCUGUGGUGCAUAUUCUUCUUACCCAAACCCCAGGCAUGAUAAAGAUGGUGUUUCAAGGCUAAUCGUUAAGAAACUGAAGUAGUUUCUCCAUCUGCCUUUGAAGUAGAAGCAAGCUUUGGUUAUUGCAGGUCCAUACCACAAUGACUGAGAUGCCCAAGUGUGUACAAGCCAAGGAGGUGAGAGUUUCACACAGCAACCAAAUUUGAGACUGAGAUGCCCUCAGAGAUUUUUAAUCAUUAGCCUCUAGAAGGUACUGUUUGAUGGAUGUGAGGGAAUAUUUGUGUUUCUUUGUCCCUGUGCAUUCCCUUUACCACACACAUGUAAAGCAUAUUAAAAAGUUACCUCCAUGUUCUCAUUUAAAUGUAAAUGUCAUAUGUUUGCACUGCUAACUCCUUCUUAAAACCGCUUGAUCUGCUCAUGUUGAUUUAUAUAUAUGUUUAAUAAAUUGUUUCUUUACAUGAUCUCC